UCCAUCCUUACGGUGACUUUAUCUCAGUCAUUUUUUGUUCCCUUUCUCCUGGCAGAUGAGCGGGGCAGAGCUCAUCCUUGCUCUGGGUCCCCAGGUGACAUGCAUGGAUUUGUCACUUGCGGGAAACAGUGUCAGUCAGUGGGUUCACUCCACUUUGAUGCUGCUACAGUCCCUGGAACAGAGGCAUCUGCUGGGUGUAGAAAAAGCCAUGGGCCUGUCCUUUUAUAAAUCAUUAAAACGCCAUGGGCGGGUUGACAAAUUGGCACUGAUCUUCCGGCUCAGCCACUGGGAGCAAUCUGUUCUGCAGACUGAGAGAAACAGCUGUAAAAACGGUGAAAAUCUGUUCUAUUGUGUUCAAACACGUUUCGGUAGACAGGCAGCCUGGUGAGCUGAAAAGACACGGUCUUUGGAACCUGGUUGGAAUCCCGACCUUUCUGCUAUCUGGCUGGGAAUGCUUACCCUGCAAUUAUUCAUUCAGUCAUUCAAGAAAGCUUAUUGAGAAUUUACUAUAUGCCAGGAACUCUGCAAGCAUUUGGAAGAAGAUACAAACGGGCCCCUUGCAGAAGAGUACCAAGACUGGCAGGGGAGAGAGAGCAGAAACGUGGGAAGACCACGUGUCCAUUCCCCCCAGAUGUUUGUAAUGGACCUUGCUGGAGAUGUAAACAGCACAAUACGUGGAUCCAAACUGUAUGUGGAAACAGCCUUUCAAUGAAUUCCUUCAUGUUUUUCCCUCUCUCUUUGUAACAAGGGCAAGGUAUUAAGUUGAAGAUAGAUAUACUUUGUAAUUUUAAUAAGUUUCUUAAUGCUAGGAAGGUGCCCUAUCCUUCUGCCUGCAGGUGUGUGAUGAGGAGAGUGUGGGGGAGCGUGGGAACCCAGAGGGCCUGCGGAAGUCCUCCCUGACCUUCUAGUUUCUCGGAACCUCCUUCCUGUGGGAGUGAGAGAGGGGAGAAUGGGGGAGAUCAGAGCCCAGAGCCCUGAAUCCUUCCUCUAACCAUGCAUGCAAAGCCAAAUCUCUGUCCCCUAAAUAGCAAGGGAUUGCAUGCAGCUGUUUAUCCAAGAGAGUGAGCAUGAAGGAUUCAGCUGAAAGCUUUUCCAGGGGAUGGCAGGAGAGGGAGGAGGGAGCCAGCAUGGGCCGACGACAGGUACAAGAUCCAGAGAUUGAUUCUCUUUCCGUGUCUGCAUCCUCUGCUGAGCAGCGCCAGACUCCCAGUUGUCUACGGACGGCCUCGGCGCUGUGCUCAGGCAAUUUAAAACUUUCUGAGAUUAUCCCUCAAUGCCUGUUUCAGGCUCAGAGGAAAGAAGAAACAAGGUCACUGACAAUUUUUAUGGGUCAGGAAAGUGACAAGCUUAUGCCCAAGCUUUCUUCAAAUGAAAAAGGUAGGAGGCAGGACCUAAACUUUCUUUCCCUUUCACUCUACCCAGUUCUUUUGUUCCUCUCUGUAUUUACUCUGCUCUUUUUCUUCCACGCUGCCUCUCUACUUUCCUUGCU